UACGAAGGGGGCUAGCGUUGCUCGGAAUCACUGGGCGUAAAGGGUGCGUAGGCGGGUCUUUAAGUCAGGGGUGAAAUCCUGGAGCUCAACUCCAGAACUGCCUUUGAUACUGGCGACCUUGAGUUCGGGAGAGGUGAGUGGAACUGCGAGUGUAGAGGUGAAAUUCGUAGAUAUUCGCAAGAACACCAGUGGCGAAGGCGGCUCACUGGCCCGAUACUGACGCUGAGGUGCGAAAGCGUGGGGAGCAAACAGG
rnacentral:rRNA from 1 species